rnacentral:rRNA from 1 species
GACGAACGCUGGCGGCGUGCUUAACGCAUGCAAGUCGAACGGAAAGGCCCUGCUUUUGUGGGGUGCUCGAGUGGCGAACGGGUGAGUAACACGUGAGUAACCUGCCCUUGACUUUGGGAUAACUUCAGGAAACUGGGGCUAAUACCGGAUAGGAGCUCCUGCUGCAUGGUGGGGGUUGGAAAGUUUCGGCGGUUGGGGAUGGACUCGCGGCUUAUCAGCUUGUUGGUGGGGUAGUGGCUUACCAAGGCUUUGACGGGUAGCCGGCCUGAGAGGGUGACCGGCCACAUUGGGACUGAGAUACGGCCCAGACUCCUACGGGAGGCAGCAGUGGGGAAUAUUGCACAAUGGGCGGAAGCCUGAUGCAGCAACGCCGCGUGCGGGAUGGCGGCCUUCGGGUUGUAAACCGCUUUCGCCUGUGACGAAGCGUGAGUGACGGUAAUGGGUAAAGAAGCACCGGCUAACUACGUGCCAGCAGCCGCGGUGAUACGUAGGGUGCGAGCGUUGUCCGGAUUUAUUGGGCGUAAAGGGCUCGUAGGUGGUUGAUCGCGUCGGAAGUGUAAUCUUGGGGCUUAACCCUGAGCGUGCUUUCGAUACGGGUUGACUUGAGGAAGGUAGGGGAGAAUGGAAUUCCUGGUGGAGCGGUGGAAUGCGCAGAUAUCAGGAGGAACACCAGUGGCGAAGGCGGUUCUCUGGGCCUUUCCUGACGCUGAGGAGCGAAAGCGUGGGGAGCGAACAGGCUUAGAUACCCUGGUAGUCCACGCUGUAAACGGUGGGUACUGGGUGUGGGGUCCAUUCCACGGGUUCCGUGCCGUAGCUAACGCUUUAAGUACCCCGCCUGGGGAGUACGGCCGCAAGGCUAAAACUCAAAGGAAUUGACGGGGCCCCGCACAAGCGGCGGAGCAUGCGGAUUAAUUCGAUGCAACGCGUAGAACCUUACCUGGGUUUGACAUGGAUCGGGAGCGCUCAGAGAUGGGUGUGCCUCUUUUGGGGUCGGUUCACAGGUGGUGCAUGGCUGUCGUCAGCUCGUGUCGUGAGAUGUUGGGUUAAGUCCCGCAACGAGCGCAACCCUUGUUCACUGUUGCCAGCACGUUAUGGUGGGGACUCAGUGGAGACCGCCGGGGUCAACUCGGAGGAAGGUGGGGAUGACGUCAAGUCAUCAUGCCCCUUAUGUCCAGGGCUUCACGCAUGCUACAAUGGCUGGUACAGAGAGUGGCGAGCCUGUGAGGGUGAGCGAAUCUCGGAAAGCCGGUCUCAGUUCGGAUUGGGGUCUGCAACUCGACCUCAUGAAGUCGGAGUCGCUAGUAAUCGCAGAUCAGCAACGCUGCGGUGAAUACGUUCCCGGGGCU